UUUCCGUAGGUGAACCUGCGGAAGGAUCAUUAAAGAGUAAGGGUCUUCGGGCCCGAUCUCCAACCCUUUGUUUAACUACCAUGUUGCUUUGGCGGGCCCGUCUCACGACCGCCGGAAGUUUGGCUUCGACCAAACUUCUGGCCCGUGCCCGUCAGUGGCCCCUUCAAAUUCUUGAUCAAGUAUGAUGUCUUAGUUAAAAACUUAAUAGUUAUAACUUUCAACAACGGAUCUCUUGGUUCUG
rnacentral:misc_RNA from 1 species